rnacentral:rRNA from 1 species
CAAGUCGGACGGCAGCACAGAGAAGCUUGCUUCUUGGGUGGCGAGUGGCGAACGGGUGAGUAAUAUAUCGGAACGUACCGAGUAAUGGGGGAUAACUAAUCGAAAGAUUAGCUAAUACCGCAUAUUCUCUGAGGAGGAAAGCAGGGGACCUUCGGGCCUUGCGUUAUUCGAGCGGCCGAUAUCUGAUUAGCUAGUUGGUGGGGUAAAGGCCUACCAAGGCGACGAUUCAGUAACGGGUCUGAGAAGGAUGAUCCGCCACACUGGGACUGAGACACGGCCCAGACUCCUACGGGAGGCAGCAGUGGGGAAUUUUGGACAAUGGGCGCAAGCCUGAUCCAGCCAUGCCGCGUGUCUGAAGAAGGCCUUCGGGUUGUAAAGGACUUUUGUCAGGGAAGAAAAGGCUGUUGCUAAUAUCGACAGCUGAUGACGGUACCUGAAGAAUAAGCACCGGCUAACUACGUGCCAGCAGCCGCGGUAAUACGUAGGGUGCGAGCGUUAAUCGGAAUUACUGGGCGUAAAGCGAGCGCAGACGGUUACUUAAGCAGGAUGUGAAAUCCCCGGGCUCAACCUGGGAACUGCGUUCUGAACUGGGUAACUAGAGUGUGUCAGAGGGAGGUAGAAUUCCACGUGUAGCAGUGAAAUGCGUAGAGAUGUGGAGGAAUACCGAUGGCGAAGGCAGCCUCCUGGGAUAACACUGACGUUCAUGCUCGAAAGCGUGGGUAGCAAACAGGAUUAGAUACCCUGGUAGUCCACGCCCUAAACGAUGUCAAUUAGCUGUUGGGCAACUUGAUUGCUUAGUAGCGUAGCUAACGCGUGAAAUUGACCGCCUGGGGAGUACGGUCGCAAGAUUAAAACUCAAAGGAAUUGACGGGGACCCGCACAAGCGGUGGAUGAUGUGGAUUAAUUCGAUGCAACGCGAAGAACCUUACCUGGUCUUGACAUGUACGGAAUCCUCCAGAGACGGAGGAGUGCCUUCGGGAGCCGUAACACAGGUGCUGCAUGGCUGUCGUCAGCUCGUGUCGUGAGAUGUUGGGUUAAGUCCCGCAACGAGCGCAACCCUUGUCAUUAGUUGCCAUCAUUUAGUUGGGCACUCUAAUGAGACUGCCGGUGACAAGCCGAAGGAAGGUGGGGAUGACGUCAAGUCCUCAUGGCCCUUAUGACCAGGGCUUCACACGUCAUACAAUGGGCCGGUACAAAGGGAAGCCAAGCCGCGAGGUGGAGCCAAUCUCACAAAACCGAUCGUAGUCCGGAUUGCACUCUGCAACUCGAGUGCAUGAAGUCGGAAUCGCUAGUAAUCGCAGGUCAGCAUACUGCGGUGAAUACGUUCCCGGGUCUUGUACACACCGCCCGUCACACCAUGGGAGUGGGGGAUACCAGAAGUAGGUAGGGUAACCGCAAGGAGCCCGCUUACCACGGUAUGCUCCAAUGGGGG